rnacentral:rRNA from 1 species
AUUGAACGCUGGCGGAAUGCUUUACACAUGCAAGUCGAACGGCAGCACGGACUUCGGUCUGGUGGCGAGUGGCGAACGGGUGAGUAAUGUAUCGGAACGUGCCCAGUCGUGGGGGAUAACGUAGUGAAAAUUACGCUAAUACCGCAUACGAUCUAUGGAUGAAAGCGGGGGAUCGCAAGACCUCGCGCGAUUGGAGCGGCCGAUAUCAGAUUAGGUAGUUGGUGGGGUAAAGGCCCACCAAGCCUAACGAUCUGUAGCUGGUCUGAGAGGACGACCAGCCACACUGGAACUGAGACACGGUCCAGACUCCUACGGGAGGCAGCAGUGGGGAAUUUUGGACAAUGGGCGAAAGCCUGAUCCAGCCAUUCCGCGUGCAGGAUGAAGGCCCUCGGGUUGUAGACUGCUUUUGUACAGAACGAAAAGGUUUCUACUAAUACUAGGAGCUCAUGCCGGUACUGUAAGAAUAAGCACCGGCUAACUACGUGCCAGCCGCCGCCGUAA